UACGGGGGGGGCAAGCGUUGUUCGGAAUUACUGGGCGUAAAGGGCUCGUAGGCGGCCAACUAAGUCAUACGUGAAAUCCCCCGGCUUAACCGGGGAACUGCUUGGUAUACUGGGUGUCUUGAGCCACUUAGGGGCGACCGGAACAAACGGUGGAGCGGUGAAAUGCGUAGAUAUCGUUUGGAACGCCAAUGGUGAAAACAGGUCGCUGGGAGUGUGCUGACGCUGAGACACGAAAGCCAGGGGAGCGAACGGG
rnacentral:rRNA from 1 species